rnacentral:rRNA from 1 species
GACGAACGCUGGCGGCGUGCUUAACACAUGCAAGUCGAGCGGGAACCCAGGAAGGGGUAACCCUCCCUGGGGGAGAGCGGCGAACGGGUGAGUACCACGUGGGCAACCUGCCCCAGACACUGGGAUAACUCCGGGACACCGGGGCUAAUACCGGAUACUCCGGCUGGACCGCAUGAUCCGGCUGGGAAAGCUCCGACGGUCUGGGAUGGGCCCGCGGCCUAUCAGCUUGUUGGUGGGGUAAGGGCCCACCAAGGCGACGACGGGUAGCUGGUCUGGGAGGACGGCCAGCCACACUGGGACUGGGACACGGCCCAGACUCCUACGGGAGGCAGCAGUGGGGAAUAUUGCGCUAAUGCGCGAAAGCGUGACGCAGCGACGCCGCGUGGGGGAUGAAGGCCUUCGGGUUGUAAACCCCUUUCGGCAGGGACGAAGCGAAAGUGACGGUACCUGCAGAAGAAGUCCCGGCUAACUACGUGCCAGCAGCCGCCGUAAGAC